rfam:Kandleria vitulina DSM 20405 Scaffold39, whole genome shotgun sequence.
GUAACAAAUAGAGGUGCAAGGACUAUGAGUUCAAUAUUAUAUGGAUGCAACCAGAUAUUGAAGGAGGAGGAUUGCCGAAGAGAUGAGAAUUUGCAUGUUCUGAUUAUCUGGUAAAAUAGAGAAUAUCUAUUUUAUUGUCACAAGGCUAUAUGCUUGUGGAGGGCUAUUGGUGAA